GACGAACGCUGGCGGCGUGCCUAAUACAUGCAAGUAGAACGCUGAAGAGAGGAGCUUGCUCUUCUUGGAUGAGUUGCGAACGGGUGAGUAACGCGUAGGUAACCUGCCUUGUAGCGGGGGAUAACUAUUGGAAACGAUAGCUAAUACCGCAUAACAAUGGAUGACACAUGUCAUUUAUUUGAAAGGGGCAAUUGCUCCACUACAAGAUGGACCUGCGUUGUAUUAGCUAGUAGGUGAGGUAAUGGCUCACCUAGGCGACGAUACAUAGCCGACCUGAGAGGGUGAUCGGCCACACUGGGACGGAGACACGGCCCAGACUCCUACGGGAGGCAGCAGUAGGGAAUCUUCGGCAAUGGGGGCAACCCUGACCGAGCAACGCCGCGUGAGUGAAGAAGGUUGUCGGAUCGUAAAGCUCUGUUGUAAGUCAAGAACGGGUGUGAGAGUGGAAAGUUCACACUGUGACGGUAGCUUACCAGAAAGGGACGGCUAACUACGUG
rnacentral:rRNA from 1 species